UGGGGAAUUUUGGACAAUGGGCGAAAGCCUGAUCCAGCCAUGCCGCGUGCAGGAUGAAGGCCUUCGGGUUGUAAACUGCUUUUGUACGGAACGAAAAGCCUCUUUCUAAUAAAGAGAGGUCAUGACGGUACCGUAAGAAUAAGCACCGGCUAACUACGUGCCAGCAGCCGCGGUAAUACGUAGGGUGCAAGCGUUAAUCGGAAUUACUGGGCGUAAAGCGUGCGCAGGCGGUUUUGUAAGACAGAGGUGAAAUCCCCGGGCUCAACCUGGGAACUGCCUUUGUGACUGCAAGGCUGGAGUGCGGCAGAGGGGGAUGGAAUUCCGCGUGUAGCAGUGAAAUGCGUAGAUAUGCGGAGGAACACCGAUGGCGAAGGCAAUCCCCUGGGCCUGCACUGACGCUCAUGCACGAAAGCGUGGGGAGCAAACAGGAUUAGAUACCCCUGGUAGUCCACGCCCUAAACGAUGUCAACUGGUUGUUGGGUCUUCACUGACUCAGUAACGAAGCUAACGCGUGAAGUUGACCGCCUGGGGAGUACGGCCGCAAGGUUGAAACUU
rnacentral:rRNA from 1 species